rnacentral:rRNA from 1 species
AACGUAGGAGACAAACGUUAUCCGGAAUUACUGGGCGUAAAGGGCGUGUAGGCGGUUAGUUAAGUCUGGCGUGAAAGCUCUCGGCUAAACCGGGAGAGGUCGUUGGAUACUGGCAAACUAGAGGACGGUAGAGGCGUGUGGAAUUCCGGGUGUAGUGGUGAAAUGCGUAGAGAUCCGGAGGAACACCAGUGGCGAAGGCGACACGCUGGGCCGUACCUGACGCUAAAGCGCGACAGCAUGGGGAGCAAACGGG